AAGUCGUAACAAGGUUUCCGUAGGUGAACCUGCGGAAGGAUCAUUAUUGAAUUAAAAGAGCGAAAAAAAGGGUUGUUGCUGGCCUUUUAUUAUUGUAAUGGAAGGCAAUGUGCACGCUCUUUUCGCUCUUUUUAUCAACCACCUGUGCACCUUUUGUAGGCUUGGCUGAACAUUUAAGAAACUCUUAGGGGUCAGGUCAAUGUCUUUGCAUUGAUUUGGGUUUUGAGAGGUUUGCUGGCUUCUUAACGAGAGUCAGCUGCCUUUACGGAUUUCUUACAAGGUCAAUGCCUAUGUUUUUAA
rnacentral:misc_RNA from 1 species